UAGUCUGCAACUCGACUACAUGAAGCUGGAAUCGCUAGUAAUCGCGAAUCAGAAUGUCGCGGUGAAUACGUUCCCGGGUCUUGUACACACCGCCCGUCACACCAUGGGAGUCAGUAACGCCCGAAGCCGGUGACCCAACCAAACGGAGGGAGCCGUCGAAGGUGGGACCGAUAACUGGGGUGAAGUCGUAACAAGGUAUC
rnacentral:rRNA from 1 species